UCUGGAUGGCCUCAAGUGGAUCAACGUCGCCAAUAACGUCACGGAUGUACUGGCCGUUACACGCGCGGAGCUGAGGACCAGAUCCGACACCGGCCGGCCAAAUUCGUCCCCCCAGACCACCAUGCUUCCCGUGCUCAGGGUACCGUCCAACUGCUUUUUGGGAGCGAGGCUGCCCACCUUUGACCCCGACGGAGAUGAUGUGGACUGUUUCCCUUUUGACCCGAACACGAACCUGGAAUUUUUU